rnacentral:rRNA from 1 species
UGCCAGCAGCCGCGGUAAUACGGAGGGUGCGAGCGUUAAUCGGAUUUACUGGGCGUAAAGGGUGUGCAGGUGGUUAUAUAAGUCGAAUGUGAAAGACCUGGGCUUAACUUAGGAAUUGCAUUCGAUACUGUAUGACUAGAGUAUGGUAGAGGAAAGCGGAAUUUCCGGUGUAGCGGUGAAAUGCGUAGAUAUCGGAAGGAACACCAGUGGCGAAGGCGGCUUUCUGGACCAAUACUGACACUGAGACACGAAAGCGUGGGGAGCAAACCGGAUUAGAUA